rnacentral:rRNA from 1 species
CUGCUGCCUUCCGUAGGAGUUUGGGCCGUGUCUCAGUCCCAAUGUGGCCGUCCACCCUCUCAGGCCGGCUACUGAUCGUCGCCUUGGUGGGCCGUUACCCCGCCAACAAGCUAAUCAGACGCGGGUCCAUCUUACACCACCGGAGUUUUUCACACAAAUCCAUGCGGCUUCGUGCGCUUAUGCGGUAUUAGCACCUAUUUCUAAGUGUUAUCCCCCAGUGUAAGGCAGGUUACCCACGCGUUACUCACCGUCCGCCACUAAGUA